rnacentral:rRNA from 1 species
GUGUCAGCAGCCGCGGUAAUACGAAGGGGGCAAGCGUUGUUCGGAAUUACUGGGCGUAAAGGGCGCGUAGGCGGUGCGUUAAGUCAGAUGUGAAAGCCCCGGGCUCAACCCGGGAACUGCAUUUGAUACUGGCGCGCUCGAAUCCGGGAGAGGUUGGUGGAAUUCCCAGUGUAGAGGUGAAAUUCGUAGAGAUUGGGAAGAACACCGGUGGCGAAGGCGGCCAACUGGACCGGUAUUGACGCUGAGGCGCGAAAGCGUGGGGAGCAAACAGGAUUAGAAACCCCCGUAGUCC